CCUACGUGAGGCAGCAGUGAGGAAUAUUGGUCAAUGGCCGAGAGGCUGAACCAGCCAAGUCGCGUGAGGGAAGACGGCCCUACGGGUUGUAAACCUCUUUUGUCGGGGAGCAAAGCGAGUCACGUGUGACUCAUUGAGAGUACCCGAAGAAAAAGCAUCGGCUAACUCCGUGCCAGCAGCCGCGGUAAUACGGAGGAUGCGAGCGUUAUCCGGAUUUAUUGGGUUUAAAGGGUGCGCAGGCGGAGGUGCAAGUCAGCGGUCAAAUUGCGGGGCUCAACCCCGUACUGCCGUUGAAACUGGGGAUCUAGAGUGUGCGAGAGGUAUGCGGAAUGCGUGGUGUAGCGGUGAAAUGCAUAGAUAUCACGCAGAACCCCGAUUGCGAAGGCAGCAUACCGGUGCACAACUGACGCUCAGGCACGAAAGCGUGGGUAUCGAACAGGAUUAGAUACCCCUGUAGUC
rnacentral:rRNA from 1 species